rnacentral:miRNA from 1 species
AACUAUGUUUGUUAUUGGUAUGAGCUUUCAUGUGCAUGCACACUUCUUCAAAUAAAAGUGUGCAUGCACACGAAAGCUCAUACUAAUAACAAGCUUGUUGU